UACGUAGGGGGCAAGCGUUGUCCGGAAUCAUUGGGCGUAAAGAGCGCGUAGGCGGCCAGGUAAGUCCGGUGUGAAAGUCUCAGGCUCAACCUCGAGACGUCGGUUGAAACCGUACGGCUAGAGUCCGGAAGAGGAGAGUGGAAUUCCCAGUGUAGAGGUGAAAUUCGUAGAUAUUGGGAAGAACACCGGUGGCGAAGGCGGCGACCUGGUCCGAGACUGACGCUGAGGCGCGAAAGCGUGGGGAGCAAACAGG
rnacentral:rRNA from 1 species